rnacentral:rRNA from 1 species
GCCCAGUCGUAAACUUUUACUUACAUUUUAAUCGCCAGGGAACUACGAGCUAAGCUUAAAACCCAAAGGACUUGACGGUACCCCACAUCCCCCUAGAGGAGCCUGUCCUAUAAUCGAUAAUCCACGUUUAACCUCACCAUUUUUAGUUAAUCAGCCUGUAUACCUCCGUCGUCAGCUUACCACGUGAGCGCCAAUUAGUGAGCCUAAUGUUAUUUCACCCACACGUCAGGUCAAGGUGCAGCAAAUGAAAUGGGAAGAGAUGGGCUACACUUUCUACUAUAGAAGAAACGAAAAACUACCUAUGAAACCUAGUUGGAAGGCGGAUUUAGCAGUAAAAAGGAAUCAGCAUAUCCAUUUUAAUCCGGCACUGGGGUGUGU